rnacentral:ncRNA from 2 species
AUGAAUGUACGGGGAGAGAACGCAAAAGUGCGUCGCCGAAGGAGCAAGUAACGGGUGUUAUGAAUCUCUCAGGCAAAAAGACUCGUACAGGACG